CACGUAGGGGGCAAGCGUUGUUCGGAAUUACUGGGCGUAAAGGGCGCGUAGGCGGCCUGUUAAGUCGGACGUGAAAUCCCCGGGCUCAACCCGGGAACUGCGUCCGAUACUGGCAGGCUUGAAUUCGGGAGAGGGAUGUGGAAUUCCAGGUGUAGCGGUGAAAUGCGUAGAUAUCUGGAGGAACACCGGUGGCGAAGGCGGCAUCCUGGACCGAUAUUGACGCUGAUGCGCGAAAGCCAGGGGAGCAAACGGG
rnacentral:rRNA from 1 species